GAUGAACGCUGGCGGCGUGCCUAAUACAUGCAAGUCGAGCGAAUGGAUUAAGAGCUUGCUCUUAUGAAGUUAGCGGCGGACGGGUGAGUAACACGUGGGUAACCUGCCCAUAAGACUGGGAUAACUCCGGGAAACCGGGGCUAAUACCGGAUAACAUUUUGAACCGCAUGGUUCGAAAUUGAAAGGCGGCUUCGGCUGUCACUUAUGGAUGGACCCGCGUCGCAUUAGCUAGUUGGUGAGGUAACGGCUCACCAAGGCAACGAUGCGUAGCCGACCUGAGAGGGUGAUCGGCCACACUGGGACUGAGACACGGCGCAGACUCCUACGGAAGGCAGCAGUAGGGAAUCUUCCGCAAUGGACGAAAGUCUGACGGAACAACGCCGCGUGAAUGAUGAAGGCUUUCGGGUCGUAAAACUCUGUUGUUAGGGAAGAACAAGUGCUAGUUGAAUAAGCUGGCACCUUGACGGUACCUAACCAGAAAGCCACGGCUAACUACGUGCCAGCAGCCGCGGUAA
rnacentral:rRNA from 1 species